rnacentral:tRNA from 1 species
ACUUAAAUAAUUUAAUUUAAAAUUCUGGGGUGUGGUUCUGGAUAUGCUAUAUAUUGCUUUAAGUU